rnacentral:lncRNA from 1 species
UUUACACGUUAGAAUAAAGAAGAUGGAUGCCCUGUGGGAAAUAGGGAGUUAAUAAAAAUCUUUAAGCAGAGGAGUCAGAUAUUAAAAUGAAAGCUUUUGGAACCCUGGAAAUGGUAUAAAAAUGGGUGAAUUGGAGCUCAGAGGGGAGAUGUUCCCUACCAACAUUUCAGAGGAAGAGUUUCUAUCAUUUACUUUACACUGAAGACAGAAUUCCUGUUGGUAUCGUCAGCUGAGGUGUUAGACACACGAGAAAAACCAUCUUGGGCUUUCUAGCUCCAGUCUAGAUACAAGUUGAAUGGAGUUCAUGAAUAUCCCCAUCCAACACCAUAAGCAGCAGAAAAUUGCCUCUGAUGGGCUCAGACAACCUAUAUGAUGGGAAUAAAUUCUGCCAGCAACCUGAGAGAACUUAGAAGCUCAUUCUUCUCCAGUCAACAUUCCAAAUGAGAACAAAGUCUGAUUGACACUGACUGCAGCCUUGUGGAACCGGAAGCAGAGGACCCCAGAUAAGAUAGGUUAUUCUGACAAGAGCGGCCGGUGUUGUUGGCAAAGAGAGCAGCUAGAAGAUUGUAGCAGAGGCUGGUUAGCUGUUCACCAAAUCCAUUUUCUCUUUCUCUUGAGCACACAACUUUAUAUUGUAUAUUCCAGUCUCUCUUAAAGGUGAGUAAAGCCAUAUAAUGAGUUCUGGCCAAAGGAAAAUGGAUAGAAGUGAUGUAUGUUACUUCUAGGCCUGGCACACAAGACACAUCAACAUGCAGUCCUAUAUAUUCUCUACCUCUAGGAAGUGGU